CUAUCUAGGUCCAAUGUCCUUUUCACCCUAGGUCCAACUGACUCUAGGUUCAACGUCUCUAUCACAUAACCUAGGUUUACUUAACUCUAGGUUCAAUCCAUAACCUAUGUUCUUUAGCACUAGGUUAGAUGCCACUCGACCUAUGCUCAAUAACACUAGGUUCAUUGUCAUUCAUGUCCAACCUAUGUUUUAUACACUAGGUUCAUUGUCAUUCAUGUCCAACCUAUGUUUUAUACACUAGGUUCAUUGUCAUUCAUGUCCAACCUAUGUUUUAUACACUAGGUUAAGUGCCACUCGAUCUAUUUGACAUCCUAAUUGCCCAUGUCGAGUUCCAUAACUAUCAACAUUUUAUCUAGCAUGCAUUAUGUGAUGCCAACAUGCAUAAUCUUUCUCACAUGAUCUACAACAUGUUAAUAUGCAUGUAAUCUAGCAUAUUCUCAUCAUGUCAUCAUACAUGCAUCCUUUACCAUAUGCUCACAUGCAUUAUUUAGCAUUUCUAUAAUAUGUUCAUCAUGCAUUCUAUGGUAGUCGUAGCAUAGCAAUUAACAUGCAUUCGCCUAGCAUUUAACUCUUGCAUUCAUCUACCAUUUAUAUGCAUCAAUAUGAAUUUACAUUUCUCUUA
rnacentral:lncRNA from 1 species